ACGGGAGGCAGCAGUGGGGAAUAUUGGGCAAUGGGCGAAAGCCUGACCCAGCAACGCCGCGUGAAGGAAGGAGGUCUUCGGAUUGUAAACUUCUUUUAUGAGGGACGAAGGAAGUGACGGUACCUCAUGAAUAAGCCACGGCUAACUACGUGCCAGCAGCCGCGGUAAUACGUAGGUGGCAAGCGUUAUCCGGAUUUACUGGGUGUAAAGGGCGCGUAGGCGGGGAUGCAAGUCAGAUGUGAAAUCUAUGGGCUUAACUCAUAAACUGCAUUUGAAACUGUAUCUCUUGAGUGCUGGAGAGGUAGAUGGAAUUCCUUGUGUAGCGGUGAAAUGCGUAGAUAUAAGGAAGAACACCAGUGGCGAAGGCGAUCUACUGGACAGUAACUGACGCUGAGGCGCGAAAGCGUGGGGAGCAACCAGGAUUAGAUCCCCUGGUA
rnacentral:rRNA from 1 species